rnacentral:rRNA from 1 species
UGCAGUCGAACGAUGAAGCACCAGCUUGCUGGUGUGGAUUAGUGGCGAACGGGUGAGUAACACGUGAGUAACCUGCCCCUCACUCUGGGAUAAGCCUGGGAAACUGGGUCUAAUACUGGAUACGACCGAUCUCCGCAUGGAGUGUUGGUGGAAAGUUUUUGUGGUGGGGGAUGGACUCGCGGCCUAUCAGCUUGUUGGUGGGGUAAUGGCCUACCAAGGCGACGACGGGUAGCCGGCCUGAGAGGGCGACCGGCCACACUGGGACUGAGACACGGCCCAGACUCCUACGGGAGGCAGCAGUGGGGAAUAUUGCACAAUGGGCGAAAGCCUGAUGCAGCGACGCCGCGUGAGGGAUGACGGCCUUCGGGUUGUAAACCUCUUUCACCAGGGACGAAGCUAACGUGACGGUACCUGGAGAAGAAGCACCGGCUAACUACGUGCCAGCAGCCGCGGUAAUACGUAGGGUGCGAGCGUUGUCCGGAAUUAUUGGGCGUAAAGAGCUUGUAGGCGGUCUGUCGCGUCUGCUGUGAAAGACCGGGGCUUAACUCCGGUUCUGCAGUGGGUACGGGCAGACUAGAGUGUGGUAGGGGAGACUGGAAUUCCUGGUGUAGCGGUGAAAUGCGCAGAUAUCAGGAGGAACACCGAUGGCGAAGGCAGGUCUCUGGGCCAUUACUGACGCUGAGAAGCGAAAGCAUGGGGAGCGAACAGGAUUAGAUACCCUGGUAGUCCAUGCCGUAAACGUUGGGCGCUAGGUGUGGGACUCAUUCCACGAGUUCCGUGCCGCAGCUAACGCAUUAAGCGCCCCGCCUGGGGAGUACGGCCGCAAGGCUAAAACUCAAAGGAAUUUGACGGGGCCCGCACAAGCGGCGGA